AUUAAUUCGAUGCAACGCGAAAAACCUUACCUACCCUUGACAUGUACGGAAUCCUGCUGAGAGGUGGGAGUGCUCGAAAGAGAACCGUAACACAGGUGCUGCAUGGCUGUCGUCAGCUCGUGUCGUGAGAUGUUGGGUUAAGUCCCGCAACGAGCGCAACCCUUGUCCUUAGUUGCUACGCAAGAGCACUCUAGGGAGACUGCCGGUGACAAACCGGAGGAAGGUGGGGAUGACGUCAAGUCCUCAUGGCCCUUAUGGGUAGGGCUUCACACGUCAUACAAUGGUCGGUACAGAGGGCUGCCAAACCGCGAGGUGGAGCUAACCCCAGAAAACCGAUCGUAGUCCGGAUCGCAGUCUGCAACUCGACUGCGUGAAGCUGGAAUCGCUAGUAAUCGCGGAUCAGCAUGUCGCGGUGAAUACGUUCCCGGGUCUUGUACACACCGCCCGUCACACCAUGGGAGUGGGUUUUGCCAGAAGUAAGUAGCCUAACCGUAAGGAGGGCGCUUACCACGGCAGGAUUCAUGACUGGGGUGAAGUCGUAACAA
rnacentral:rRNA from 1 species